CAUCAGGUCUGGAUUGUGCGGCUCAAUUGGAUUCAACGCCCGAAACCCCACCAGGACAGGAGCGCUCGAUGAAGCACCGGCCGAAUACCUCUGCCGAUGAGCGUGCAGGUGGUGCAUGGCCGCCGUAGUUCGUGAGGUGACUUGUCUGGUCUAUUCCGACAACGAACGCAACCACAAUGCUCCACUAUCUCGCGAGCCCCACGUGGGUCCGCGAGAAACUGGAGCAGACAAAUCGCUCGAUGGGCUCAGCCCAAGGCGAAGGAAGCUAUGGCGAUGGCAGGUCUGUGAUGCCCCUAGAUGCCCUGGAUCGCACGCGCAAUACAAUGGCGACCCAAGCGCGCAGGUUCGUCCGAGAGGACUUACAAAUCGCACGAAAAGUCGCCUCAGUCGGGAUCGAGGAUUGCAACUGUUCCUCGUCAACGCGGAACACCUCGUAGUGGCGUGUCAUAAACGCGCCACGAAUUAGUCCCUGCCCUUUGUACAC
rnacentral:rRNA from 1 species